rnacentral:rRNA from 1 species
AAGUCGUAACAAGGUUUCCGUAGGUGAACCUGCGGAAGGAUCAUUAAUGAAGCUUCAAGUCGGCCGUUUCUGUGCUGGUGGCCACACAUGUGCACGUUCGGUCGCAAACACCCCACACCCUGUGCACCCUUGACUUGAGUCGGUCGAAAGGGUUGUAACGACCCCAAACACCGAUCACAAGUAAUUUUUACACUCUGCAUGUAACGGAAUGUCACUGUACAAUGUACAACAGAAACAACUUUCAACAACGGAUCUCUUGGCUCUCGCAUCGAUGAAGAACGCAGCGAAAUGCGAUAAGUAAUGUGAAUUGCAGAAUUCAGUGAAUCAUCGAAUCUUUGAACGCACCUUGCACCCUUUGGUAUCCCAAAGGGUACACCCGUUUGAGUGUCAUUGUAAUCUCACUUUGAUGACUUUAUCGUCGUCAGAUGUGGACUUGGACGUCGUCGUGUCGCCACGGCUCGUCUCAAAUGCCUGAGUGUACCCUGCUUUGCAGCGUCUUUGGUGUAAUAAACAUCUUCACCGUUAAUGUCGAAAGGCAGCGCUCGUGAUAUAGGCUCUAUGCUUCCAACCGUCUCUCCGAGACAAACCUCUGACAAUUUGACCUCAAAUCGGGUGAGACUACCCGCUGAACUUAAGCAUAUCAAUAAGCGGAGGAAAAGAAACUAACAAGGAUUCCCCUAGUAACGGCGAGUGAAGAGGGAAAAGCUCAAAUUUUGAAUCUGGCGUCUUUGGCGUCCGAGUUGUAAUCUAGAGAAGUGACUUCCGCGUCGGACCGUGUACAAGUCCCCUGGAACGGGGCGUCAUAGAGGGUGAGAAUCCCGUAUAUGCCACGGACCCCCGAUGCUUUGUGAUGCACUCUCGACGAGUCGAGUUGUUUGGGAAUGCAGCUCAAAAUGGGUGGUAAAUUCCAUCUAAAGCUAAAUAUUGGCGAGAGACCGAUAGCGAACAAGUACCGUGAGGGAAAGAUGAAAAGCACUUUGGAAAGAGAGUGAAACAGUACGUGAAAUUGUUGAAAGGGAAGCGUUUGAAGUCAGUCAUGCCGGUUGGAAUUCAUCCUGGCUUUUGCCUCGUGUACUUUCCAUCCGACAGGUCAGCAUCAGUUUCGACCGAGAGAAAAAGGCUUUGGGAAUGUGGCUGUCUUCGGGCAGUGUUAUAGCCUGGGGUUGUAUGUCUCGGUUGGGACUGAGGAACGCAGCGCGCCCGUUGGCCGGGGGCGAACCACCCCUCGGUACGCGCUUAGGAUGCUGGC